rnacentral:sRNA from 1 species
UCCUCAGCAGUGCCAGAUCUAUUGUGCUC